rnacentral:rRNA from 1 species
CCUACUGGUGGCAGCAGUGGGGAAUAUUGCACAAUGGGGGAAACCCUGAUGCAGCGACGCCGCGUGAGUGAAGAAGUAUCUCGGUAUGUAAAGCUCUGUCUGUAGGGAAGCAAAUGACGGUACCUGACCAAGAAGCCACUGCUCAAUACGUGCCAGCAGCCGCGGAAAUACGUAGGGGGCAAGCGUUAUCCGGAUUUACUGGGUGUAAAGGGAGUGUAGACGGCGGGGCAAGUCUCGCGUGAAAGGCCGGGGGUCAACCCCCGGACUGCUGUGGAAACCGCCAGGCUUGAGUGCAGGAGAGGUAAGUGGAAUUCCUAGUGUAGCGGUGAAAUGCAUAGAUAUUAGGAUGAACACCGGUGGCGAAGGCAGCAUACUGGACUGUAACUGACGUUGAGGCUCGAAAGCGUGGGGAGCAAACAGGAUUAGAUACCCUUGUAGUC